rnacentral:rRNA from 1 species
AUGAGAUCCCACCACCGGGUCCUCGCCGCCCACGCAAGCCGAGGAAGACCGGCCACACACCCGCAGCCACCCUCCGUCAGGGAAGGCUCCGCCCACCUUGACCGGGGCCGCCACCCCGGCACACCAAGCUCUCCACGCGAGGAGCAGCCAGCCCCGCCGCCACCUUCCUCGACGCCGCGCGGGCUUGCCGGCGGCUAUCUCUGGUGGCGGCGAUCUCUGGUGGAGCAUUUGCUUGUGGGAUGCCCAUUCUCACGGCAGGUGUGGCACGACUGCUUCAGUUGGUGCUACCCACCAGCUCUCGCGCCCGCCUCCUCCGACCUCUUCCUUGAUUGGUGGCGUGCUACAACUCUGGCCACGCCGGCGACGCACCGGAAAGGAAUCUCCUCGCUUAUCCUACUGAUCGUCUGGUCCAUCUGGAAGCAUCGCAACUCUUGCGUCUUUGACGGUGCCGCGCCAUCUACGUCCAAGCUGCUCCACGACAUCCAAGAAGAGGCUCGCUCAUGGGCCACGGCAGGAGCCAAGGGUUUAGCAAUCAUCAUACCGUAG